UCCAGCGUAGUUUAAUGGCUAGAACAUUUGGUUUACACCCAAGAAAUCGGAGUUCGAUUCUCCGCGUCGGAA